CUCUGUCAAUUCUGAUGGCAAGAGGAGAAAAAAUUAUGAACUGCAUCAUAAAAUCUAUAUAAACAAAUUCUAUUUGUCACUGCAAUGCACCUACCCCAAUGGUAAAACAAACAAAAUUCUUGGAGUAAAGAAGAAAAAGGAAGUAUUUUGAACAAUAUUAUAUUGCAAAUGAUUGCUUUUAUGGCCCAAUUAUCAAAGUUUUACCGUGCCUGUACGCCUGUCACCUAUAAUUAGGAAACUUGUGCACUCUCUAUGGCAAAUGCAGCCACAUUUACAACAAAUAAGUUUGCAGAAAUUUGAAAGAACACAAGACAAAUGAUAUGUUUUUGUCCCAUAAUAGGGCUAGAUGUUCAGUCUUUCGAUUUAAUCACGUGUUGAGCAUUUACCACGAGAUUACGUUAUAGAUCCACGAAUAUCAACAAAAAAUUAGUACAAAUGUAUGAAGAAUUCAAUUUCUUCAAGUUCUUUAUAGCCUCUGUAUUUUACAAAAUUGUAAUCAAAAAGCACUUUGCAAUCUCAAUGAUUGCGCAAAGCACUCAGUAACUCACAGAAAAAGAUUGCACUCACAUAAAAAUGGUUACAAAUUUACUCAAGAAAAACCUAUCACUCAAAUGAAGGAAGAGACGAAAGAACCAAGAAAACUCAAAAGUCUCACACCAAGUGAAUAAGAAAAGGCGAGAACAAGUAUAUAAAUGUCCAGCCGAAAAGUCACAGUCCAAGGGUCAUAAAGCAGCCACAUUGACAGCAGAUUUCACCCCUUAAAGUAGAGGCAAAAGUGUGAAACUCAGAAAAAACGAUUUUAUAAGGCUUCAAUUUUAACCUAACUUAAACAUCAGGCCCAACUUCAUAUGGCCCAUCCGGCCAAGAAUAAUAGUGAGGCAGCCCAAAGUUUAAACGAAAGGUAAAGGAAAAUCCGUAUAUAAGAAGUACAGAACAGGGAGAAUUUUGAAAGGAGUGAAGGAUGAAGUUUUGGAUUUUGGAUAAGCUCGGACCAACUCGGUAGGGAUAAGCUUGCGAUAACCAGCUAAAAGAAUGAUGUCAACUUUGUAUGACCUGUGUAAAUUAAGAAAGCACAAUCAGAAAGUUUUAAGGAU
rnacentral:lncRNA from 1 species